rnacentral:rRNA from 1 species
GAUGAACGCUGGCGGCGUGCCUAAUACAUGCAAGUCGAGCGAACAGACGAGGAGCUUGCUCCUCUGAGGUUAGCGGCGGACGGGUGAGUAACACGUGGAUAACCUACCUAUAAGACUGGGAUAACUUCGGGAAACCGGAGCUAAUACGGGAUAAUAUAUUGAACCGCAUGGUUCAAGAGUGAAAGACGGUAUUUCUUUCACUUAUAGAUGGAUCCGCGCCGCGUUAGCUAGUUGGUAAGGUAACGGCUUACCAAGGCAACGAUGCGUAGCCGACCUGAGAGCGUGAUCGGCCAGACUGGAACUGAGACACGGUCCAGACUCCUACGGGAGGCAGCAGUAGGGAAUCUUCCGCAAUGGGCGAAAGCCUGACGUAGCAACGCCGCGUGAGUGAUGAAGGUCUUCGGAUCGUAAAACUCUGUUAUUAGGGAAGAACAAAUGUGUAAGUACCUAUGCACGUAUUGACGGUACCUAAUCAGAAAGCCACGGCUAACUACGUG